rnacentral:rRNA from 1 species
AUGAACGCUGGCGGCGUGCCUAACACAUGCAAGUCGAACGCGAACGUCCCUUCGGGGGCUAGUAGAGUGGCGAACGGGUGAGUAACACGUGGAUAACCUGCCUAGGUGUGGGGGAUAACUUUGGGAAACCGAAGCUAAUACCGCAUACGCUCGAGGAUCGCAUGAUCCUCGCGGAAAGACCGCCUCUUCUUGAAAGCGGUUGCAUUUAGAGGGGUCCGCGGCUGAUUAGCUAGUUGGUGGGGUAAUGGCCUACCAAGGCUACGAUCUAUAGCCGGCCUGAGAGGGUGAUCGGCCACACUGGAACUGAGACACGGUCCAGACUCCUACGGGAGGCAGCAGUGGGGAAUAUUGGACAAUGGGCGAAAGCCUGAUCCAGCAACGCCGCGUGGAGGAUGAAUGUCUUCGGAUUGUAAACUCCUGUCAGAUGGGGCGAAAGGUUAUCGGUUAAUACCCGGUAACUAUGACGGUACCAUCAGAGGAAGCCCCGGCUAACUCCGUGCCAGCAGCCGCGGUAAUACGGAGGGGGCGAGCGUUAUUCGGAAUUAUUGGGCGUAAAGGGCGCGUAGGCGGUCUGACAGGUCAAGGGUGAAAUCCCUCGGCUCAACCGAGGAACUGCCUUUGAAACCGUCAGACUUGAGGCCGGGAGAGGGUGGUGGAAUUCCUAGUGUAGCGGUGAAAUGCGUAGAUAUUAGGGGGAACACCAGUGGCGAAGGCGGCCACCUGGACCGGUACUGACGCUGAGGCGCGAAAGCGUGGGUAGCAAACAGGAUUAGAUACCCUGGUAGUCCACGCCCUAAACGAUGGAUACUUUGUGCAGCGGGUAUCGACCCCUGCUGUGCAGGAGCUACGCAUUAAGUAUCCCGCCUGGGGAGUACGGUCGCAAGGCUGAAACUCAAAGGAAUUGACGGGGGCCCGCACAAGCGGUGGAGCAUGUGGUUUAAUUCGAUGCAACGCGCAGAACCUUACCUGGGCUUGAACCGCGGUGGACGUGAGCAGAGAUGUUCAUUCUCCUUCGGGAGCCGCCGUAGAGGUGCUGCAUGGCUGUCGUCAGCUCGUGUCGUGAGAUGUUGGGUAAAGUCCCGCAACGAGCGCAACCCCUGCCUUUAGUUACCAGCGGGUAAUGCCGGGAACUCUAGGGAGACUGCCCCGGAAAUCGGGGAGGAAGGUGGGGAUGACGUCAAGUCCUCAUGGCCUUUAUGUCCAGGGCUACACACGUGCUACAAUGGGUGGUACAAAGGGUCGCGAAGCCGCGAGGCAGAGCUAAUCCCAAAAAACCAUCCUCAGUUCGGAUUGCAGUCUGCAACUCGACUGCAUGAAGGUGGAAUCGCUAGUAAUCCCAGAUCAGCACGCUGGGGUGAAUACGUUCCCGGGCCUUGUACACACCGCCCGUCACAUCACGAAAGUUGGUUGUACCGGAAGUCGGUAGGCUAACCCGCAAGGGAGGCUGCUGCCCAUGGUAUGACUGGCGAUUGGGGUGA